UACGUAGGUGGCAAGCGUUGUCCGGAUUUAUUGGGUUUAAAGGGUGCGUAGGUGGGCAGGUAAGUCAGUGGUGAAAUCUCCGGGCUUAACCCGGAAACUGCCAUUGAUACUAUCUGUCUUGAAUACCGUGGAGGUGAGCGGAAUAUGUCAUGUAGCGGUGAAAUGCUUAGAUAUGACAUAGAACACCAAUUGCGAAGGCAGCUCACUACACGAAUAUUGACACUGAGGCACGAAAGCGUGGGGAUCAAACAGG
rnacentral:rRNA from 1 species